CCGAGUUGUAAUUUGGAGAGGAUGUUUUUGGGUGUCCGCCGGCCUAAGUCCCUUGGAACAGGGCGUCAUAGAGGGUGAGAAUCCCGUAUGUGGCCGGAAAGGUACCCUCCGUAAAACUCCUUCGACGAGUCGGGUUGUUUGGGAAUGCAGCCCUAAAUGGGAGGUAAAUUUCUUCUAAAGCUAAAUACCGGCCAGAGACCGAUAGCGCACAAGUAGAGUGAUCGAAAGAUGAAAAGCACUUUGGAAAGAGAGUUAAACAGCACGUGAAAUUGUUGAAAGGGAAGCGCUUGCGAUCAGUCUCGACGGCGGCCGUUCGGCCUCUCUUCUGAGUGGUUUACUCGGUCGCCGCCGGGCCAGCAUCAGUUUCGGCGGUUGGAUAA
rnacentral:rRNA from 1 species